rnacentral:rRNA from 1 species
AGCAGUCGCCGCGGGAAUACAGAGGGUGCGAGCGUUAAUCGGAUUUACUGGGCGUAAAGCGUGCGUAGGCGGCUUUUUAAGUCGGAUGUGAAAUCCCUGAGCUUAACUUAGGAAUUGCAUUCGAUACUGGGAAGCUAGAGUAUGGGAGAGGAUGGUAGAAUUCCAGCUGUAGCGGUGAAAUGCGUAGAGAUCUGGAGGAAUACCGAUGGCGAAGGCAGCCAUCUGGCCUAAUACUGACGCUGAGGUACGAAAGCAUGGGGAGCAAACAGGAUUAGAUACCCGAGUAGUCCCUGUCUCUUAUAC